AGAUUGAACGCUGGCGGCAUGCCUAACACAUGCAAGUCGAACGGGAGUAGCAAUACUCUAGUGGCGGACGGGUGAGGAAUACGUAGGAAUUUGCCCUUAAGUGGGGGAUAACCCGGGGAAACCCGGAUUAAUACCGCAUGACCUCGAAAGAGCAAAGUGGGGGAUCGCAAGACCUCACGCUUUUGGAGAAGCCUACGUCGGAUUAGCUAGUUGGUGAGGUAAUGGCUCACCAAGGCGACGAUCCGUAGCUGGUCUGAGAGGAUGAUCAGCCACACUGGAACUGAGACACGGUCCAGACUCCUACGGGAGGCAGCAGUGGGGAAUAUUGGACAAUGGGCGCAAGCCUGAUCCAGCCAUACCGCGUGGGUGAAGAAGGCCCUCGGGUUGUAAAGCCCUUUUGGUUGGGAAAGAAAAGCAAGUUCGGUUAAUACCCGGUGCUCUCGACGUAACCCAAAGAAUAACGCAACCGGCUAACUUCGUGCCAGCAGCCGC
rnacentral:rRNA from 1 species